AAAAAAAGCCACUAAGCUUCAGCUGCACACGACCGUACCGCAAACCGACACUGGUGCGCGAGAUGAGUAUUCUAAGGCGCUUGAGAGAACUCUGGAGAAGGAACUCGGCAAAUUGACACCGUAACUUCGGAAGAAGGUGUGCCCCUAGUAGGUGAAGUCGUACAGACGGAGCCCAAUGGGGUCGCAGAGAAUAGGUGGCUGCGACUGUUUAUUAAAAACACAGCACUCUGCAAAGACGAAAGUCGACGUAUAGGGUGUGACGCCUGCCCGGUGCUGGAAGAUUAAAUGAUGGGGUGCAAGCUCUUGAUUGAAGUCCCAGUAAACGGCGGCCGUAACGAUAACGGUCCUAAGGUAGCGAAAUUCCUUGUCGGGUAAGUUCCGACCUGCACGAAUGGCGUAACGAUGGCCACGCUGUCUCCUCCAGAGACUCAGCGAAGUUGAAAUGUCUGUGAUGAUGCAAUCUCCCCGCGGAAAGACGGAAAGACCCCAUGAACCUUUACUGUAGCUUUACAUUGGACUUUGAACAGAUCUGUGUAGGAUAGGUGGGAGGCUUUGAAGCCUGGUCGCUAGAUCAGGUGGAGCCAACGUUGAAAUACCACCCUGGUGUGUUUGAGGUUCUAACCUUGGCCCGUGAUCCGGGUUGGGGACAGUGUAUGGUGGGCAGUUUGACUGGGGCGGUCUCCUCCCAAAGCGUAACGGAGGAGUUCGAAGGUACGCUAGGCACGGUCGGAAAUCGUGCUGAUAGUGCAUUGGCAUAAGCGUGCUUGACUGCGAGACUGACAAGUCAAGCAGGUACGAAAGUAGGACAAAGUGAUCCGGUGGUUCUGUAUGGAAGGGCCAUCGCUCAACGGAUAGAAGGUACUCUGGGGAUAACAGGCUGAUACCGCCCAAGAGUUCAUAUCGACGGCGGUGUUUGGCACCUCGAUGUCGGCUCAUCUCAUCCUGGGGCUGUAGCCGGUCCCAAGGGUAUGGCUGUUCGCCAUUUAAAGAGGUACGUGAGCUGGGUUUAAAACGUCGUGAGACAGUUUGGUCCCUAUCUUCCGUGGGCGCUGCAAGAUUGAGAGAGCCUGCUCCUAGUACGAGAGGACCGGAGUGGACGCACCUCUGGUGUAUCGGUUGUCACGCCAGUGGCAUCGCCGAGUAGCUAAGUGCGGAAGAGAUAACCGCUGAAAGCAUCUAAGCGGGAAACUCGUCUCAAGAUGAGUCUUGCCGGGGCCUCGAGCCCCCUGAAGAGUCGUUCGAGACCAGGAUGUUGAUAGGUCGGGUGUGGAAGCGCAGUAAUGCGUUAAGCUAACCGAUACUAAUUGCUCGUGAGGCUUGACCCG
rnacentral:rRNA from 1 species